CUGAAGGAGUCUGUGAGUCAGAACGAUGAUCUGAAAGCCCUCAGCAACCAGCUGGAACUGAAAACCAGCAGCUACACCCUGCAGGUCCAAAAGCUCCAGGAGUCUCUGGAUGAUGCUCACAAACAGAUGCUGAAGGCCAGAAGUGAUGCUGAGGAACAAGAUCGCUCAGCUGCAGCCACCAUCUGUCAACUGCGGCGUGAAGUGACCAGUGCGAUGGAGAAAAUGAUCAAGAUGGAGGAGGAUGUAGCCCUACUGGAGACACUGAAGGAUCGCUGCAGUUGAGUCAGACUCUCCAGAGCUACAUCACUCACAUUGUGAAGAUCCGGUCAGGGACACACCAGGAGCUGGACGCUCUCCCAGCAUGCACUGGG